GGGCUUGUAGCUCAGUUGGUUAGAGCACUUCUCUGAUAAGGAAGGGGUCAUUAGUUCAACUCUAAUCAAGCCCACUA
rnacentral:tRNA from 6 species